rnacentral:tRNA from 1 species
GCACGCGUAGCUCAGUUGGCAGAGCAGCUGACUCUUAAUCAGCGGGUCGUGGGUUCGAAUCCCUCCGCGUGUA